UACGUAGGGGCUAGCGUUGUCCGGAAUCAUUGGGCGUAAAGAGCGUGUAGGCGGCCCGGUAAGUCCGCUGUGAAAGUCGGGGGCUCAACCCUCGAAUGCCGGUGGAUACUGUCGGGCUAGAGUGCGGAAGAGGCGAGUGGAAUUCCUGGUGUAGCGGUGAAAUGCGUAGAUAUCGGGAGGAACACCGAUGGCGAAGGCGGCUCACUGGUCCGGUACUGACGCUGAGGUGCGAAAGCGUGGGGAGCAAACAGG
rnacentral:rRNA from 1 species